rnacentral:rRNA from 1 species
AACGAACGCUGGCGGCAUGCCUAACACAUGCAAGUCGAACGAGACCUUCGGGUCUAGUGGCGCACGGGUGCGUAACGCGUGGGAACCUGCCCUUAGGUUCGGAAUAACUCCCCGAAAGGGGUGCUAAUACCGGAUAAUGUCUUCGGACCAAAGAUUUAUCGCCUUUGGAUGGGCCCGCGUUGGAUUAGCUAGUUGGUAGGGUAAAAGCCUACCAAGGCGACGAUCCAUAGCUGGUCUGAGAGGAUGAUCAGCCACACUGGGACUGAGACACGGCCCAGACCCCUGCGGGAGGAAGAAGGGGGGAAUAUGGGAAAAGGGGCGAAAGCCUUAUCCAGCAAGGCCGGGGGAGUGAUGAAGGCCUUAGGGUUGUAAAGCUCUUUUACCCGGGAUGAUAAUGACAGUACCGGGAGAAUAAGCCCCGGCAAACCCCGU